CCCGCCCCGGGCGACCGCAGCUCACCGCUGCCUCGCAUUCUCCGCCGGGCCAGGGUGACGCGAACCCCGGGCCUCCUGCCCCGGAGCCACGCCCAGUGGCCCUGCACCCUCGGCCCGCCCGAUUCCCGGGGUCUGCGGAGCCUGCGCUUGUGCAAACCCCGUGCAAAUACAGUUGGUACAAACACAGACGUGAGGCCUCGGGCACUUGCAGAGCUGGGCAGAGAGGAGACGCCCCCACCCCGAUGGCUCAAAGCCACUGCAUUGAAGACAAAAGAAACCUCGCAGGGCUGUCCCUAAAAAGGCUGCUCUUCGAACUCACCCGGCGAUUUAGGAUUUCUUUUUUUAGUAUUAUUUUGUCUGUUUUUGUGUUUGUCUCCCUGUGUGGAGCCCAGGCUGGCCUCGAACUCGUGGCGAUCCUCUUGCCUCAGCCUUCCGAGUGCUGGGCCUUGGUGGUAUAGGCGUGCCAUACCACGCCUAGCUCAUUUUAGGCUUUAUAAAACCCUUCAUUUUACCCAAUUGUCUCAUUUUACAGAGGAGGAAACCAAAUUCAAGCCAAUUACAUUAGUAACAGCUGUACCUGUAGAAAGACUAGAUUCCUCGGAGUGGACUUGCCCAGUCACAAGGGCCGUUUCUCAAGGCUUGUGAUGUGCAUUGUUCUUCCGUGGGACUCGGGGCCAGAGAGCUGCUGUCUGGGUAGUCGGAGGCCCAGGUCCCUGUGAGCCACUCAGUGGCUCAGUGGCAUCGGAAUGGACAGAAUUCCAAGAGGACAAGAGAGACCAAAUGAGAAUCAGAAGGAUUUAUUGGUGCACCUUGACUCAGCUAGACUCCUCUCCAAAAGACUGAGUGAUUGAAUAAAGGAAAGUUCCAGUUCUUAUGCAUUUAGUCAAAGGGGGGUGGUCUUUCUAGUGCAGUGAGCUUACCAGAACAGGACAAGGGCAGUUUAGUAAUUUAGCCUUGUAAGACGACAG
rnacentral:lncRNA from 1 species